UACGAAGGGGGCUAGCGUUGUUCGGAAUUACUGGGCGUAAAGCGCACGUAGGCGGACUAUUAAGUCAGGGGUGAAAUCCCGGGGCUCAACCCCGGAACUGCCUUUGAUACUGGUAGUCUCGAGUCCGGAAGAGGUGAGUGGAAUUCCGAGUGUAGAGGUGAAAUUCGUAGAUAUUCGGAGGAACACCAGUGGCGGAAGGCGGCUCACUGGUCCGGUACUGACGCUGAGGUGCGAAAGCGUGGGGAGCAAACAGGG
rnacentral:rRNA from 1 species